UUGGCCUCCUGCAGGAGGAAGUCCCGCCAGAGGACAACCCCAGGGCCACAGGGAAGGACUCUGGGGAAAUCCCAUCCUAAGCCUGACGAGGACCAGGAUUGACAAGGCACCUCUUACCCUUCCCUUCUCUUCUCCUCGCCUCCCAGACCGGCCUGCAGUGGAGAUGGUGCGCAAAUCCCACCAAGAAUUCCCUACUUCUGAGACCACCUCCCCCAAGUUGCCAGGUUGUGUGCUUGCUACUAAAAGGUGGCUGUUUCUUGCCUACGGCUUUCCCUGCCCAUCUGAGGUCUGCGUGGGCCUUGGAAUCCAGAUCCAGCAUCUGGAGAUCAGCAGGAGCUCAAAGAUACAACUGCUCCAUUGGUCCUGAGUGACUUCACUCUAAGCUCAGAGGCUCCAGGGUACACUGCUCAGAGGCACUAAGGGCUCCAUCUGGUUCUUGAGAAAAAAACGCAAGCAAAAGGGAGGAAGAGACCAUUGCUGAGCCAAGAAAUGACAAGCCAGUAGUAAAGAGCAUCCACACACUUCACUGUUGUAAAAUGGCUUUAUGUUCCAAUAUGUAAAGGGAAAUGUCCAUGCUAUGUAACAAAACACUUGAAGUUGCAUAUCCCGUUAGCUAAGGUGUCUCCUAAUAAAGUUUCAUCUGUAAUGUGUGUGUGUGUGUUUUCAUAUAUAUAUUUAUUUAUGUUUUAUCUAAACCAUUCUUAGUUUUAACAUCAAAUGUGUAAUAAAAAUUUAAAUAGAUGCCUUUCCAAAUACCCCCACCAAUGUUCAUUUAUUAAGUUUAUUCAUUUGUAAAAAGCAAAGCUGAGUUUGACAUGUGGCCUGCAUUUGUGAGAUAUAUAUAUAUAUAUAUUUAUUUAUUUAUUCAUAUAAUAUAUAAAUAGCUGCUCAGCAUGCAAAGAGUUUAGUGAUUUCCCAAUUUUGAUUACAGAGUUCACACCAGCCACACGGAUGGUCUGGUGGUGUUCAAUGCUGAAGGGCUGGAUGGAAGACUACAAGAUCCACCUCACUGGAGAAUUUUCCUUGCUCCUCUGAGCUCACUGGCUGAAUUUACUGGAAGAAAUGAAUAUUUUCUCAGUUCUUGUGUUUAUUUCUGUUGGGCUUUCUUGCAUCGGAGGCAGGGAUUUUCAGGGAAAAGAACAGGCUCUGGAGAUGCCUGGCAGCAGCUCGGAUGUGCUCUCCUGGGACACUGCCCUGUGAAGUGUGUCUCCUAAUGACUGGUUGUAGGAUGCAGAUGGUGCCCGAGAGGCAGAGUCCUCCUGCAUGCCGCAGAGGGUGAGAGAUUGUAUGAUAGGGACCGAGGGUGAAGGGCUUUGCACUUUAUUAGGAAACCUGAAUGGUAACAGAGAUGCUACUGGUUGCAUUUUUCCUUCCUCUCUGAAGAAAAAAAAUGUUUUAGUACUCAUCAGGUGGCCCUUAGCACAUGACCCUCUCUGAAAGUCAUCCCUCAGAUCUCAGAGCUCCAGAGAUCAAUUUCCAGGCCACUAACUGAGCGGUCUGCUCUCCCCUCAGAGCAGCUUUGUGGUUUUGCUGAGUACACUUCUCAGGAGGCCUCAUGGAAUCUCCAGGAGUCAGUGGAGUGGGCCUCCUGCUCUCAAAACAAGCCCCCCAGCUCCCCUUGCAAACAGAAGGCCAGGGACUCUCCAAUGUGUGCAAAGCCCUCCAGCCCAGCAACGAAAAUCUUCCCCCAGCUUUCCCUGUGGGAGAGACCUCACUACCUGGCCCUGAGUAAAGCAAAAACCUCUAAA